GAUGCACGCUGGCGGCGUGCCUAAUACAUGCAAGUCGAGCGAACAGACGAGGAGCUUGCUCCUCUGACGUUAGCGGCGGACGGGUGAGUAACACGUGGAUAACCUACCUAUAAGACUGGGAUAACUUCGGGAAACCGGAGCUAAUACCGGAUAAUAUAUUGAACCGCAUGGUUCAAUAGUGAAAGACGGUUUUGCUGUCACUUAUAGAUGGAUCCGCGCCGCAUUAGCUAGUUGGUAAGGUAACGGCUUACCAAGGCAACGAUGCGUAGCCGACCUGAGAGGGUGAUCGGCCACACUGGAACUGAGACACGGUCCAGACUCCUACGGGAGGCAGCAGUAGGGAAUCUUCCGCAAUGGGCGAAAGCUUGACGGAGCAACGCCGCGUGAGUGAUGAAGGUCUUCGGAUCGUAAAACUCUGUUAUUAGGGAAGAACAAAUGUGUAAGUAACUAUGCACGUCUUGACGGUACCUAAUCAGAAAGCCACGGCUAACUACGUG
rnacentral:rRNA from 1 species